AACGAACGCUGGCGGCAUGCCUAACACAUGCAAGUCGAACGAGACCUUCGGGUCUAGUGGCGCACGGGUGCGUAACGCGUGGGAACCUGCCCUUAGGUUCGGAAUAACUCAGAGAAAUUUGAGCUAAUACCGGAUAAUGUCUUCGGACCAAAGAUUUAUCGCCUUUGGAUGGGCCCGCGUAGGAUUAGCUAGUUGGUGGGGUAAUGGCCUACCAAGGCGACGAUCCUUAGCUGGUCUGAGAGGAUGAUCAGCCACACUGGGACUGAGACACGGCCGAGACUCCUACGGGAGGCAGCAGUGGGGAAUAUUGGACAAUGGGCGAAAGCUUGAUCCAGUAAUAUUGCGUGAAUGAGGACAGCAAAAAAGAUUUAGGGGUUAAACCUUAAAUUGGUUGUAAAGUUCUUUCGUUAGUGAAGAUAAUGACCGUAACUAAAGAAGAAACCCCGGCUAACUU
rnacentral:rRNA from 1 species